UGAAUCAGGGGCGGGACUUGUUAUAAUCCCGUUGGAAAAGAUGUGAACGCCUGUGGAGGUGGAGCGCAAGAAGGAGCGGAAGAUGGCGCCAGCCCAGCUGAUGUACGUGGUCUGUGAGGGUGUGUGUUUGACUGGACACUGCCAUGGACGCUGAGGGUCACUGCAAGGACGUCCUGUGUUUAUACUCACCACCCUCUUUAAAUCGUCGGACACCUUGUGAGAAUGGACCGAAACGAAAGUCAGCUUUUGUGAAGAUAUGGAACUUGUUGUUUAUAUUAGGGAUAAACAUUUCAUUGUGUAUAAAAAAAAAGAACAUGACAUUUAAUAUAUGAGAAUGAUCUUUUAUCAUAUUGUAAUUGAAAACAACUAUUGUGCAUAGGGUUUUGUUAAGAACACGUCCCUUUUUGUAUCUCUCUGUGCCAUUGUCACUGAAUACAUUGUCCUGUUAAAUAAAUUAUUGCUUUGUCUGGUUUGAA